GGGGGUAUAGCUCAGCUGGGAGAGCAGCAGACUGAAGUACAAGAAGGAUAUUACUGUCUUUUGAAGGUUCCGCGUUCGAUCCGCGGUACCCCCA
rnacentral:tRNA from 1 species